AGGAAAAAAAGAAGGAUAAAGACAAAGAGAGAAGUAGAGAUGAGAGGGAACGGUCAACCAGCAAGAAAAAAAAAGCAAAGACAAAGAGAAGGAUCGGGAACGAAAAUCUGAGAGCGAUAAGGAUGUGAAAGUCACAAGGGAUUAUGAUGAAGAGGAACAGGGAUAUGACAGCGAGAAGGAGAAAAAGGAAGAAAAGAAAAUGGCAGAUUCUUCUUCUCCUAAAGUAAAGGAGUCUGCGGCUGAGAAAGGAAG